GCGCUGGUGGUGUAAUGGCGUAGAGCAUUCCCGCCCGGUCAGAGGGAGGUGCGGGUUCGAGUCCCGCCUGGCGCU
rnacentral:tRNA from 1 species